AUUUCAGUAAAGUUGACAUGUUUGACAUUCAACUUUACUGAAAUGCUUAGUUUGGAAUUUACUGUGUUCAGUGUUCUGAUUUUCUGAACAUUCGAAUGCAGUGAAUCCAAACAUA